CGUCGAAUAUUCUCACUGUCCUGAUUUUGUAAUAAUCAGAGCAAGCUAAGCAUUUGCUAUAUUAAGAUCAUGCAUGUGUCCCCAGACUUAGUACUUUCCCUAGGCUGCUUUUAUCAAAGCUGGCAACGGAC
ensembl:snoRNA SNORA72 Small nucleolar RNA SNORA72